rnacentral:rRNA from 1 species
UACGUAGGGUGCAAGCGUUGUCCGGAAUUAUUGGGCGUAAAGAGCUCGUAGGUGGCCUGUCGCGUCGGCUGUGAAAACUCGGGGCCCAACUCCGAGCUUGCAGUCGAUACGGGCAGGCUAGAGUUCGGCAGGGGAGACUGGAAUUCCUGGUGUAGCGGUGAAAUGCGCAGAUAUCAGGAGGAACACCGGUGGCGAAGGCGGGUCUCUGGGCCGAUACUGACACUGAGGAGCGAAAGCGUGGGGAGCGAACAGG